AGAUUGAACGCUGGCGGCGUGCUUAACACAUGCAAGUCGAGCGGUAACGCGGGAGCAAUCCUGGCGACGAGCGGCGAACGGGUGAGUAAUGCUUGGGAAUCUGCCCAUUAGUGGGGAACAACCAGCCGAAAGGUUGGCUAAUACCGCAUACGCCCUACGGGGGAAAGCGGGGGAUCGUAAGACCUCGCGCUAAUGGAUGAGCCCAAGUCGGAUUAGCUUGUUGGUAGGGUAACGGCCUACCAAGGCGACAAUCCGUAGCUGGUCUGAGAGGACGACCAGCCACACUGGGACUGAGACACGGCCCAGACUCCUACGGGAGGCAGCAGUGGGGAAUAUUGGACAAUGGGGGCAACCCUGAUCCAGCGACGCCGCGUGUGUGAAGAAGGCCUGCGGGUUGUAAAGCACUUUUAGUGGGGAUGAAAAGCUCAGGGUUAACACCUCUGGGUCUUGACCUAACCACAGAAAAAGCACCGGCUAACUCUGUGCCAGCAGCCGC
rnacentral:rRNA from 1 species